GACGAACGCUGGCGGCGUGCUUAACACAUGCAAGUCGAACGGAAAGGCCCUGCUUUUGUGGGGUGCUCGAGUGGCGAACGGGUGAGUAACACGUGAGUAACCUGCCCUUGACUUUGGGAUAACUUCAGGAAACUGGGGCUAAUACCGGAUAGGAGCUCCUGCUGCAUGGUGGGGGUUGGAAAGUUUCGGCGGUUGGGGAUGGACUCGCGGCUUAUCAGCUUGUUGGUGGGGUAGUGGCUUACCAAGGCUUUGACGGGUAGCCGGCCUGAGAGGGUGACCGGCCACAUUGGGACUGAGAUACGGCCCAGACUCCUACGGGAGGCAGCAGUGGGGAAUAUUGCACAAUGGGCGGAAGCCUGAUGCAGCAACGCCGCGUGCGGGAUGACGACCUUCGGGUUGUAUACCGCUUUCGCCUGUGACGAAGCGUGAGUGACGGUAAUGGGUAAAGAAGCACCGGCUAACUACGUG
rnacentral:rRNA from 1 species